rnacentral:lncRNA from 1 species
UCUGAGUCCAUGCAGGGGUUCGGGAUUCUGGGGCUUUUCCUUCAUGGUGGGUGAAAUCAGGAGGAAGGUGCCAGGUUGGACUUGGGCACACAGGAGUGUGGGUGGCCUUUAUUUUGAAAGAGGAUAAGAAUUAGGGACAAGGAGGUUGGUUCCAGACCUUAUUUUCAUGUGUGAGGGCCAGGAGGCACUCCCCUGUCCUUUUCUGUUUUCUCUGCCGUGGUUCGUGGGGCGAUGUGAUAUAUGGGUCACCACCACGGCUUGGCUGCCUCCUUCCACCACAUCCCCUCCCAUCCGGGCCUCUGUGGACUUGCCAGACUAGGCCCCCUCCUGGGUGUGGAUAAUUUGGAAUCAGUUAAAAGGGAGUCUUGAUGCGUGGAUUUGGGUCCCCAAACUGCCACCUCCUUUGGCUCUUUCCUGACCCUGAAGAGAACCUGACCCGGAUGUACCAAGACCUUGCCGGAAGCCUCUAGCCAGAGCAGCUGGCCCUGGACUCCCACUGGGACACUGACUGGGAGAUUCUUAGAGCACUGAACGAUUGGCCCUCCACCUUCCCAGCGGCUCUUUGGGAAAAGAUGCCCAUUGCAUGAAGCGGGGCCUCUCAAGGAGGAGCCCCAGGUCACCUGUUGCAACAGAAUCGCCUGGGAGCUCCAAGGCCCAGCCCCAACCCAUACCCAAUGAGUCUGAAUCUCCAGGAGGUGCCCAGACAUCUGCACAUCCAGCAGGUUCCCAGCUUCACAUUGUAAGGCUCCACCUCUUUCCACCCCCAGGAUCUUCAGGGGCACAGUAAAGUGUCCACCAUGAGCUGCCUUCACCCCAGCCCUUGGGACCAUGUGGGGACCGGGUGGGAACUCUGGGCUCCUGUGACACUCAGACCAAGCCCCUCACAUUGCAGGGGCCCUGCUCAGCAUCCUGGAGGGGAGCAACCCUUCUGGGACCAGGAAAACCCAAUUUUGUCCUCCAUUUCUGUUCCUCCUGGGGGCUGUGAACCUCAGGCAGGGUCCCUCGGUCUGGGUCCCGUAUGAACUCCUCUUCACCUUUCUGGCCAGGUUAUCAGAAUGGGCAGGGUUGUAAGUGGUUCAGAGUUUGAGCUCUGGGGUCAGGCGGAGCCGAGUUCAGCCUUGGCACAUUCCCCUGCACCAGCCCGUGCCCUGGGGUGAACCCCUGGGCUCCCUUGGCCUCUUCUCAGCUCCUCACUGUGUCCCACCCCUCUGCCAUCUCCUCUUCUCCCCUCCAGCUAUGGGACGAUCUGUCCCGAGUUCACUUUCUUCUUUUCUAUUUCCUACUCCCAUGUCCCCAAACACAUCCCGCCCUACAGUUCCCCACCUCCAGGCCCUGCACGGGCCCUUUGCUCUGUUUGGCAUGCUCCUGCCCUCCUGCAUCCUGGCAGUCUAAACUUUAAGUGAGACCUGCAUGGAGCAGGGAGACUGGCCAGAAGUCUUAAUUAACUUCAAAAUUUAAAGCUGGAAGAGAGGGAUAUGAUUUGGCUCUGUGUCCCCACCCAAAUCUGAUGUCGAAUUGUAAUUCCCAAUGUUGGGGGAGGGACCUGGUGGGAGGUGAUUGGAUCGUGGGGGCAGAUUCCCCCCCUUCGUGUUCUUGUGAUAGUGAGUGAGUUCUCAUGAGAUCUGUUUGCUUAAAAGUGUGUAGCAUCUCCCCCUUUGCUCUCUCUCUCCUGCUGCUAUGUGAAGAUGUGGUUGCUUCCCCUUCACCUACCACCAUGGUUAUGUUUCCUGAGGCCUCCCAGCCAUGCUUCCUGCAUAGCCUGUGGAACUGUGAGUCAAUUAAAUCUGUUUUCUUCAUAAAUUACCCAGCCUCAGGUAGUUCUUUAUGGUAGUGUGAGAACAGACUAACACAGAGAGUUUUAAAUUCUUUAGUUGUAGGCCUUUGCCCAGGAUGGAGUAGCAGGGACUGUAUUUCCUUCCCCUUCAAAACUUUCAGACAGCUGGAGAGGAUAUAUGGAACAUCAGUUUCAAGGUACUGGACAUCAGGCAAUGAAGGAAAGAAAUU